rfam:Gossypium raimondii Chr07_contig_521, whole genome shotgun sequence.
AAUGAGAUAAUGACAAAUCAGCUUUUUCCUCUUGAUUUUUAGCUUUUUCCUCCUAAAAAAAAUUCAAAUCAAACUAAAAACACUAAAAAUCAAGAGAAAAAAUCUGAUUUAUCAUUCUCCCAUU